ACGCUUCGGGCAAGUACCCGACGGGGGCUCUGCAGGCCACAAAGUCCGACUUUGGCGCAUUCGACGAGUGCCUGGAGACCGAGGUAAAGGACAGCCACGGCUAUGUGGCGGCGCGUGGCCAGUACUGCAACCUGCUUUUUUUCGCCGGAAACAGCAGCGACAUCGAUAAAUACAUCCUUCCCGCCAUGUCAGUGGUGGACCCUCGGAUCACUCACUUCAAAAGUCACAUAGCAAACCCCAAUAUGCCAACGUUCCGCUUAGGACUGUGCGUGCUGAAUGAGUGCACUGAAGAGGAGCUCCAAGAACUGAUUAAUGCAGCGGUCCCUCAGGGACUAGACCUCCGGAUUAAGGACUGCGUCACAGGCGAAUUUCCCCCGCUCAGCAGAACAGAGAUAAUUAU